rnacentral:rRNA from 1 species
UGCAAGUCGAACGGAGUUAAGUUAAAGCUUGCUUUGACUUAACUUAGUGGCGGACUGGUGAGUAACGCGUGAACAAUCUGCCUAUCGACAGGGGGAUAACAGUUGGAAACGACUGCUAAUACCGCAUAAGGACCACGGGGUGGCAUCACCCAGGGGUCAAAGGAGUUAAAUCUGGUGAUAGAUGAGUUUGCGUAUCAAUUAGCUAGUUGGUAAGGGUAACGGCCUACCCAAGGCGACGAUGAUUAGCCGAUCUGAGAGGGAUGACCGGCCACACUGGGACUGAGAUACGGCCCAGACUCCUACGGGAGGCAGCAGUUAGGAAUAUUGGGCAAUGGAGGAAACUCUGACCCAGCAACGCCGCGUGAAGGAAGAAGGUUUUCGGACUGUAAACUUCUGAUCUAAGGGAAAAAGAAAGUGAUGGUACCUUAGGAGAAAGCCACGGCUAACUACGUGCC